rnacentral:rRNA from 1 species
GAGUUUGAUUCUGGCUCAGGAUGAACGCUAGCGAUAGGCUUAACACAUGCAAGUCGAGGGGCAGCGAGGGUAGCAAUACCUGUCGGCGACCGGCGCACGGGUGAGUAACGCGUAUGUAACCUGCCCGCAACAGGGGGAUAACCCGGCGAAAGUCGGACUAAUACCGCAUAAAACAGGGGUCCCGCAUGGGAAUAUUUGUUAAAGAUUUAUCGGUUGCGGAUGGGCAUGCGUACCAUUAGGUAGUUGGUGAGGUAACGGCUCACCAAGCCUUCGAUGGUUAGGGGUUCUGAGAGGAAGGUCCCCCACACUGGUACUGAGACACGGACCAGACUCCUACGGGAGGCAGCAGUGAGGAAUAUUGGUCAAUGGGCGAGAGCCUGAACCAGCCAAGUCGCGUGAAGGAUGACUGCCCUAGUGGGUUGUAAACUUCUUUUACAAGGGAAUAAAAUGAGAUAGCGUGUAUUUUAUUG